CAUUAUGUUGCAUUUCUAAGUCGAUCCGAUCCUCUCUCUGCCUUUUUCCAAGUCUCUUUGCUCCUGCAUUCCUUUGAUGAAUGUCUGAGCACAGAGAGGUCCCCAGAGAUUCCCGGUUCCUUUAAAAAGACGAGAAAGGGUGACCUGGUGUUUAACCACAUGCAGACAUCACAGAUGCUCAUGAUCUCACCAGAAAAGGAGUCCAGAUUCAGGGCAGCUUCCUGCUAAGACUCGAGGGUUGCACAAGAUCUGUUUGAGCCGCAUCACCCCUC